CCUACGGGUGGCAGCAGUGAGGAAUAUUGGUCAAUGGGCGAGAGCCUGAACCAGCCAAGUCGCGUGAAGGAUGACGGCCCUACGGGUUGUAAACUUCGUUUGUCAGGGAGCAAUUGGGUCCACGCGUGGGCUUAGCGAGAGUACCUGAAGAAAAAGCAUCGGCAAACUCCGUGCCAGCCGACGCGGUAAUACGGAGGAUGCGAGCGUUAUCUGGAUUUAUUGGGUUUAAAGGGUGCGUAGGCGGAAUAUCAAGUAAGCGGUAAAAAUUCGGGGCUAAACCCCGUCGUGCUGUUGAAACUGAUGUUCUUGAGUGGGCGAGAGGGAUGCGGAAGGCGAGGUGUAGCGGUGAAAUGCAUAGAUA
rnacentral:rRNA from 1 species